rnacentral:rRNA from 1 species
GUGACUGCGUACCUUUUGUAUAAUGGGUCAGCGACUUAUAUUCUGUAGCAAGGUUAACCGAAUAGGGGAGCCGAAGGGAAACCGAGUCUUAACUGGGCGUUAAGUUGCAGGGUAUAGACCCGAAACCCGGUGAUCUAGCCAUGGGCAGGUUGAAGGUUGGGUAACACUAACUGGAGGACCGAACCGACUAAUGUUGAAAAAUUAGCGGAUGACUUGUGGCUGGGGGUGAAAGGCCAAUCAAACCGGGAGAUAGCUGGUUCUCCCCGAAAGCUAUUUAGGUAGCGCCUCGUGAAUUCAUCUCCGGGGGUAGAGCACUGUUUCGGCAAGGGGGUCAUCCCGACUUACCAACCCGAUGCAAACUGCGAAUACCGGAGAAUGUUAUCACGGGAGACACACGGCGGGUGCUAACGUCCGUCGUGAAGAGGGAAACAACCCAGACCGCCAGCUAAGGUCCCAAAGUCAUGGUUAAGUGGGAAACGAUGUGGGAAGGCCCAGACAGCCAGGAUGUUGGCUUAGAAGCAGCCAUCAUUUAAAGAAAGCGUAAUAGCUCACUGGUCGAGUCGGCCUGCGCGGAAGAUGUAACGGGGCUAAACCAUGCACCGAAGCUGCGGCAGCGACACUAUGUGUUGUUGGGUAGGGGAGCGUUCUGUAAGCCUGUGAAGGUGUNAUGCUGGAGGUAUCAGAAGUGCGAAUGCUGACAUAAGUAACGAUAAAGCGGGUGAAAAGCCCGCUCGCCGGAAGACCAAGGGUUCCUGUCCAACGUUAAUCGGGGCAGGGUGAGUCGACCCCUAAGGCGAGGCCGAAAGGCGUAGUCGAUGGGAAACAGGUUAAUAUUCCUGUACUUGGUGUUACUGCGAAGGGGGGACGGAGAAGGCUAUGUUGGCCGGGCGACGGUUGUCCCGGUUUAAGCGUGUAGGCUGGUUUUCCAGGCAAAUCCGGAAAAUCAAGGCUGAGGCGUGAUGACGAGGCACUACGGUGCUGAAGCAACAAAUGCCCUGCUUCCAGGAAAAGCCUCUAAGCAUCAGGUAACAUCAAAUCGUACCCCAAACCGACACAGGUGGUCAGGUAGAGAAUACCAAGGCGCUUGAGAGAACUCGGGUGAAGGAACUAGGCAAAAUGGUGCCGUAACUUCGGGAGAAGGCACGCUGAUAUGUAGGUGAAGUCCCUNGCGGAUGGAGCUGAAAUCAGUCGAAGAUACCAGCUGGCUGCAACUGUUUAUUAAAAACACAGCACUGUGCAAACACGAAAGUGGACGUAUACGGUGUGACGCCUGCCCGGUGCCGGAAGGUUAAUUGAUGGGGUCAGCGCAAGCGAAGCUCUUGAUCGAAGCCCCGGUAAACGGCGGCCGUAACUAUAACGGUCCUAAGGUAGCGAAAUUCCUUGUCGGGUAAGUUCCGACCUGCACGAAUGGCGUAAUGAUGGCCAGGCUGUCUCCACCCGAGACUCAGUGAAAUUGAACUCGCUGUGAAGAUGCAGUGUACCCGCGGCAAGACGGAAAGACCCCGUGAACCUUUACUAUAGCUUGACACUGAACAUUGAGCCUUGAUGUGUAGGAUAGGUGGGAGGCUUUGAAGUGUGGACGCCAGUCUGCAUGGAGCCGACCUUGAAAUACCACCCUUUAAUGUUUGAUGUUCUAACGUGGACCCGUGAUCCGGGUUGCGGACAGUGUCUGGUGGGUAGUUUGACUGGGGCGGUCUCCUCCUAAAGAGUAACGGAGGAGCACGAAGGUUGGCUAAUCCUGGUCGGACAUCAGGAGGUUAGUGCAAUGGCAUAAGCCAGCUUGACUGCGAGCGUGACGGCGCGAGCAGGUGCGAAAGCAGGUCAUAGUGAUCCGGUGGUUCUGAAUGGAAGGGCCAUCGCUCAACGGAUAAAAGGUACUCCGGGGAUAACAGGCUGAUACCGCCCAAGAGUUCAUAUCGACGGCGGUGUUUGGCACCUCGAUGUCGGCUCAUCACAUCCUGGGGCUGAAGUAGGUCCCAAGGGUAUGGCUGUUCGCCAUUUAAAGUGGUACGCGAGCUGGGUUUAGAACGUCGUGAGACAGUUCGGUCCCUAUCUGCCGUGGGCGCUGGAGAACUGAGGGGGGCUGCUCCUAGUACGAGAGGACCGGAGUGGACGCAUCACUGGUGUUCGGGUUGUCAUGCCAAUGGCACUGCCCGGUAGCUAAAUGCGGAAGAGAUAAGUGCUGAAAGCAUCUAAGCACGAAACUUGCCCCGAGAUGAGUUCUCCCUGACCCUUUAAGGGUCCUGAAGGAACGUUGAAGACGACGACGUUGAUAGGCCGGGUGUGUAAGCGCAGCGAUGCGUUGAGCUAACCGGUACUAAUGAACCGUGAGGCUUAACCUU